rnacentral:lncRNA from 1 species
GAUAGUGAACUCCAACUGUCUUGUUGGUGGCAAUCCUGGUAAGACCUCGGGAAAUACAUCUCUAUAUUCUCUUACCACUGCUACAUCCUCAAAGUUUUUUUUUUUUUUACUUGAUUCUCCUUCAUCAUUCAAGUAAACUAGGUAAGCUUGUGCUCCUUUCUUCUUUACCAAUUUCGACGCCUGAAGUGCCGAAACGAUUGGAACUCUCUUCUUUCUAUCAAUGCCGUGAAAACAUGUCUGUUCCUUCCCAGGUGGUUGGAAAGUUAUCUGUCU